GAAUAAACAUUAAAUAUUGAAUUUUGAAACUUCUCAGUUCUCAUUCUCAUAGAAUUCCGUUUCCACGUGAAAGGGUUUCAGACGAGUUUCUCUUUCCCCUUUCAAAGUUUUCGAUUCUUUUCCCCAAUUUUCACAAUGACGAGUUUCUCAGAAGAACAAACCAAAAACUUCAAGCUUCAAGGUUAGUCUUUUUUUUAAUUUACGAAUCUAGGGUUUUUGUCUUUCGUGUAUUUCGUUUUUUCACUUCUCUUCCUUUGUUAAUUCGAAUUUGUCUUAGGUUACAUUUCAAAUUUUAUUAAUCAAUUUAGGAAAUUAGGGUUUAUAUUUCUAUAAUACUGUUGAAUUGUUUUGCACCUCAGGUUUAGUAUUUGAUUAAG
rnacentral:lncRNA from 1 species